AUUGAACGCUGGCGGCAGGCCUAACACAUGCAAGUCGAGCGAGCGGCGGACGGGUGAGUAAUGUAUGGGGAUCUGCCCGAUGGAGGGGGAUAACUACUGGAAACGGUAGCUAAUACCGCCUACCAUCCGAUGAAGCCAUAUCGGAUUGGCUUGUAGGUAAGGUAACGGCUUACCUAGGCGACGAUCCCUAGCUGGUCGGAGAGGAUGAUAGGCCACACUGGGACUGGAAACCGGCCCAGCCUCCUCCGGGAGGCAGCAGUGGGGAAUAUUGGACAAUGGGGGCAAGCCUGAUGCAGCCAUGCCGCUGGUAUGAAGAAGGCCUUCGGGUUGUAAAGUACGUUCAGUCGGGAGGCGGUACCGGCAGAAGAAGCACCGGCUAACUCCGUGCCAGCAGCCGCGGUAAUUC
rnacentral:rRNA from 1 species